UAGAAUUAGUAAACAACAACUUUGUUUGAGUCCAACAUGUGCACAGGGGCAAGAGGGGUGUUUUAUUUACAAACAUAUGUGCCGAUUCUCUGUUGUCAAGUCGACACAAAUUUCCAACGGAGGAAAUUUUUAGCUAUAUUUUAACAAACAUUAUAACGUUAAUUUAACUUAUUUCUGUUAUAUUUUAUAGGAAAAUUUAAAAUAAACAGUAUAAAUACUACAAUUAACCUAUUUUAAGAAUAAAUAUAAUAUCCUUAAGCAAAAAAAAAAACAAAAUUAUUAACAUUCUUAUUCCUAAAACUGCUUCUAAAAAAUUUGAAGCGACAACACCGGAGCUUAAGCGCCUAAACCAUACGCGUUGUGUCAUCUGUCAAACGGCUCUUUGUUUAUAUUCGGGAUUCGUGUAUUUUCUUUAAUUUUUGGUUUAAAAAGGAAAAAAGGCCACGUUUUAGUGUUUUUUUAAAUUGCUAGGAUGGCAAAAACUUGUGUCGUUUGUCCCGCAUCAUGAUAAAAACGUGAUUCAAGCCGAUCUUUUCACAAGUAAGUACCGAUACUUUCAUAACAUCACAUCAUGGGGUAACCAUCAUCAUAAACGUAGAAUAGGGGAUCUUAUAGAUAUAAACCUAAUAAAAAUUUGAAUGUGAAAGUGUGCGUAAAAUACCAACAUAUUUAUAUUUUUAAAUCUAAAUAUUUUUUUGAACAUAUUCAUCUAUUAAUAGGCUAUAAAAGAUAUAAAACUAGAAUUUUGUCCCUGGUUUUAUUACAGGAUUUUAUGUUUUUUUUGUUGUUUUGGCAGAAAAAAUGCAUAAUACCUAUGUACCUAUCUAUAUAUAGUUUGAUAUCUAUGUAUAAAGUUAAUUUUGUCUUUCUUUAAAAUUUGUUCCAUAAUUUUUUUUUGUUUUACCUUAUUGCAACUUACAAUAAUAUAUAUAGUAAUUGGCACCACAUAUUAAUUUAUUACUGUAAUUUUUUUCUGCUUUUUGAUUAAAUAUCAAAUACUUAUUAUAGAUUGCCCAAUGAUUAUGCCCAAAGGGAACAAUGGGUUUCAUUAAUGGAAAUCAACACAUUUAAAAAGAACAUAUUUGUUUGUUCAGAUCACAUCCUUAGAAGUGAUAUAAGGGAGAUAAUAUUAUCAGUAGCCAGACUUUAUUAAAAAAAUCAGCUCUACCUCAAAGGAUUUCUGAUGCACUGGUUAAAAACACAGCAGCCAAUAAUUCAGUUAAUUUACCAAGUGAUUUACCCUUCAAAGCUACAGGGGUAGCUUUCCUGAAGAGUGCAAAAACUUCUUUAGCUUUCAAAAUGGUAUAUAGUACAAACAGUGAAGCUAAUAUACUUACUUAGACACAUCUGAUCAUUCAUCAUCAACAAUAACUGCAUCUGAGAAUUAUAGUUCUACAGUAACCGUGGAGUCUAGGUCAACAAUUACUAUUUCUCAUCCAAGCCGUUUUUGUUUAACUGCUACACAUUCCCUGACUCUGCCAAGGAAAAGGUAUAAAUACACUCAAAAUAGACUACUAGUUUUAUGCCAUGUAUCAUCCUAUUCUAUAUAUCUUAUUUAAAAGUGAUAUGGUAUUUUAUUGUAUUAUAUUUGUUUAAUUAAAUGCAAUUAAUCAAAUGUAUGAUAUUACAAAGAUUCUCUAUAAUAACAUACAUUUUAUUGAUCAAUUGGAUUAUCAUAAUACAUUUUUUUAAUUUUUUCUUUUUAAUUUUGGUAAUACUAUAUUUUUAUGUAUAUUAUUCUAGGGUAAAAUCAAAUGAUAUCCUGAGGACCUAAGCACUGAUGAUUCCACCGUUUCAAGAGCUUAAUCACUUGUCACCAGAUUAUGGAAAAAAAAUAAAGAACAAAAAAUCAAAAUUCGAAGAUUGCAACAAGCAAAUUUGCG